UAUCAAUAAGCGGAGGAAAAGAAACCAACAGGGAUUGCCUCAGUAACGGCGAGUGAAGCGGCAACAGCUCAAAUUUGAAAGCUGGCUCCUUUCGGGGCCCGCGUUGUAAUUUGUAGAGGAUGCUUCGGGUGCGGCGCUGGUCUAAGUUCUUUGGAACAAGACGUCAUAGAGGGUGAGAAUCCCGUAUGUGACUGGUUGCCUGCGCCUGUGUGAAGCUCCUUCGACGAGUCGAGUUGUUUGGGAAUGCAGCUCAAAAUGGGUGGUGUACUUCAUCUAAAGCUAAAUAUUGGCCAGAGACCGAUAGCGCACAAGUAGAGUGAUCGAAAGAUGAAAAGCACUUUGGAAAGAGAGUUAAACAGUACGUGAAAUUGUUGAAAGGGAAGCGCUUGCAAUCAGACUUGCACAGCGUCGAUCAGCCUGGGUUCUCCCUGGUGCACUCGGCGCUGUUCAGGCCAGCAUCAGUUUCGGCGGUUGGAUAAAGGCUUAGGGAACGUGGGUCGCCUCGGCGACCGUUAUAGCCCUAGGUGCAAUGCAGCCUGCUGGGACUGAGGACCGCGCUUCGGCUAGGAUGCUGGCGUAAUGGUUGUAAGCGACCCGUCUUGAAACACGGACCAAGGAGUCUAACAUCUAUGCGAGUGUUUGGGUGUCAAACCCAUACGCGUAAUGAAAGUGAACGGAGGUGAGAACCCUUAAGGGUGCAUCAUCGACCGAUCCUGAUGUCUUCGGAUGGAUUUGAGUAAGAGCAUAGCUGUUAGGACCCGAAAGAUGGUAGCAUAUUUUGCCAUUGGGAGCUGCCUUGCAGCAGCUAGUAGGUUCUCAAAGCCUGCGAGACUUCCAAUCUGCUGGGAAAUGUUGGGCACCAAAGCCUGGCGAUCAGCAGCUGCUUUUCAGCAGUUCACAGACUAAAUAGAAGUCGGUUGCCUACAUGGGCAGCUUGAGAUAUAGCCGAGCGUUCUCUAGCAAUAGGGAAUAUAAGCUGGAACUAUGCCUGAAUAGGGUGAAGCCAGAGGAAACUCUGGUGGAGGCUCGCAGCGGUUCUGACGUGCAAAUCGAUCGUCAAAUUUGGGUAUAGGGGCGAAAGACUAAUCGAACCAUCUAGUAGCUGGUUCACGCC
rnacentral:rRNA from 1 species